rnacentral:rRNA from 1 species
AACGAACGCUGGCGGCAUGCCUAACACAUGCAAGUCGAACGAGACCUUCGGGUCUAGUGGCGCACGGGUGCGUAACGCGUGGGAACCUUCCCUUAGGUUCGGAAUAACUCCCCGAAAGGGGUGCUAAUACCGGAUAAUGUCUUCGGACCAAAGAUUUAUCGCUUUUGGAUGAGCCCGCGUUGGAUUAGCUAGUUGGUAGGGUAAAAGCCUACCAAGGCGACGAUCCAUAGCUGGUCUGAGAGGAUGAUCAGCCACACUGGGACUGAGACACGGCCCAGACUCCUACGGGAGGCAGCAGUGGGGAAUAGUGGACAAUGGGCGAAAGCCUGAUCCAGCAAUGCCGGGUGAGUGAUGAAGGCCUUAGGGUUGUAAAGCUCUUUUAACCGGGAUGAUAAUGACAGUACCGGGAGAAUAAGCGCCGGCUAACUCCGUG